CCAGUGACUGAUACCUUGGAGGCAUUUAUCUAAGACACACACAAAUGCCUCCAAGGUAUCAGUUUACCAGGCCA
ensembl:miRNA